UACGGAGGGUGCAAGCGUUGUCCGGAAUCACUGGGCGUAAAGAGCGUGUAGGCGGUCUGCCAAGUCUGUUGUGAAAUCGCUCGGCUCAACUGGGCGGGGUCAGCGGAUACGGUCUCACUUGAGCAAGCUAGGGGGCAAUGGAAUUCCCGGUGUAGUGGUGGAAUGCGUAGAUAUCGGGAGGAACACCAGUGGCGAAGGCGGUUGCCUGGGGCUUUGCGUGACGCUGAUGCGCGAAAGCGGUGGGCGAUCCGG
rnacentral:rRNA from 1 species